rnacentral:rRNA from 1 species
GACGAACGCUGGCGGCGUGCUUAACACAUGCAAGUCGGACGAGAAUCUGCGGAACGAGGAUUCGUCCAAGUGAAGCAGAGGACAGUGGAGGACGGGUGAGUAACGCGUGAGGAACCUGACUUUCAGAGGGGGACAACAGUUGGAAACGACUGAUAAUACCGCAUAACACAUGGGUGUCGCAUGGCACUGAUGUCAAAGAUUUAUCGCUGAAAGAUGGCCUCGCGUCUGAUUAGUUAGUUGGUGAGGUAACGGCCCACCAAGGCGACGAUCAGUAGCCGGACUGAGAGGUUGACCGGCCACAUUGGGACUGAGAUACGGCCCAGACUCCUACGGGAGGCAGCAGUGGGGAAUAUUGGGCAAUGGGCGCAAGCCUGACCCAGCAACGCCGCGUGAAGGAAGAAGGCUUUCGGGUUGUAAACUUCUUUUGUCAGGGACGAGUAGAAGACGGUACCUGACGAAUAAGCCACGGCUAACUACGUGCCAGCCGCCGCCGUAA